rnacentral:rRNA from 1 species
AACGAACGCUGGCGGCAGGCCUAACACAUGCAAGUCGAACGCCCGUAGCAAUACGGAGUGGCAGACGGGUGAGUAACGCGUGGGAACGUGCCCUUCGGUUCGGAAUAACUCAGGGAAACUUAGAGCUAAUACCGGAUACGUCCGUAAGGAGAAAGAUUUAUCGCCGAAGGAUCGGCCCGCGUCGGAUUAGCUAGUUGGUGAGGU